CGUCUGGAAACGGACGCUAAUACCGCAUAAUAUCUACGGAUCAAAGAUUUAUCGCCAAGAGAUUAGCCCGCGUCUGAUUAGCUAGUUGGUGAGGUAAUGGCUCACCAAGGCGACGAUCAGUAGCUGGUCUGAGAGGAUGAUCAGCCACACUGGAACUGAGACACGGUCCAGACUCCUACGGGAGGCAGCAGUUAGGAAUAUUGGACAAUGGGGGAAACCCUGAUCCAGCCAUGCCGCGUGUGUGAAGAAGGCCUUAGGGUUGUAAAACACUUUCAGCCGUGAAGAUAAUGACAGUAGCGGAAGAAGAAG
rnacentral:rRNA from 1 species